rnacentral:rRNA from 1 species
AUGGUUAAGUUAGAAAGGGCGCACGGUGAAUGCCUUGGCACUAGGAGCCGAUGAAGGACGGGACUAACACCGAUAUGCUUCGGGGAGCUGUAAGUGAGCUUUGAUCCGGAGAUUUCCGAAUGGGGAAACCCACUGUUCGUAAUGGAACAGUAUCUUUAUCUGAAUACAUAGGAUAUUGAAGGCAGACCCGGGGAACUGAAACAUCUAAGUACCCGGAGGAAGAGAAAGCAAAUGCGAUUACCUGAGUAGCGGCGAGCGAAACGGAAUUAGCCCAAACCAAGAGGCUUGCCUCUUG